rnacentral:rRNA from 1 species
GUCCUACGGGGGGCAGCAGUGGGGGAUAUUGGACAAUGGGGGGAACCCUGAUCCAGCGACGCCGCGUGAGUGAAGAAGUAUUUCGGUAUGUAAAGCUCUGUCAGCAGGGAAGAAAGCAAUGACGGUACCUGACCAAGAAGCCCCGGCUAACUACGUGCCAGCAGCCGCGGUAAUACGUAGGGGGCAAGCGUUAUCCGGAUUUACUGGGUGUAAAGGGAGCGUAGACGGUUGUAUAAGUCUGGAGUGAAAGCCCGGGGCCCAACCCCGGGACUGCUUUGGAAACUGUGUAACUUGAGUACCGGAGG